rnacentral:misc_RNA from 1 species
GUCUUUGCCAAACUAAAGGCUCUCUCAUUUCUUUCAAUGGCACCAGCAUCUUCAAUCAAAUUCAUUGAUACUGCACUUUCUUGUACCAGCCCUUAUGCACUAUCCUACCCAGACCCUAAACAAAAAUGGCUAAUCAGAAAACACCUUCUUUCACUAAUCCAGGACUAUCCAAUUUUCACACCUUCCACCGAUACAUUCACCCACAACGAUGGCACCAGCGUGAACCUUCUGAACGCCACCGGCAAUCUCCGGGUCUCCAGGUAUACCCCUCCUAUACCUCUCACCAUUUGGGUUCAUGAAAACUACCCUUACAUGCCUCCUUUGGUCUUUGUAUUGGCAAAUUCGAUGACUCCAAUUCAUCGAGACCACCCUUUUGUUGACCUUUCUGGUUCUACCUCUUCUCCUUAUCUCCAAACUUGGCUAUUCCCUCGAUGCAACCUCACCAACCUUGUUCGUAAGCUUGUCAAGAUUUUCACUCAUGACCAUCCUUUCAUUUAUAAUUCCCCUGUUGCAGGUUUCUCUCACCCCUCCCUUGUCUCAAGGAUGGAGGCUCUUGAUCGUCUUUCGGGCAUGCUUCAUUAUGAUAUGAUGGCCUUUUUGGCCAAAAAUGAAGAGGAAGUGGAGAACUUGUCUAAGUUGCAGGAAGAAUUGAUCAAGCGAGAUACUAUAAUUAGAAAUAUGAUCAGUAGUCUUGAACAAGAAAGGUCCAGCCUUAAGGACAAUGUAACGAAGCUGACGGAUGAAGCUGAUGUGGUAAUGAACUGGUUGAGAGUCAAUGAUGCGAACUCAGUUGCAGUGGGAGGAGAUGAAAUGGAAGAGGCAUUUGAAGCUGCAGAUGAAGAAUCAAAAUUGAAGAUUGAAUGUUUGAGUGGAGAUCGGGCCAUAGAGGAUUUGAUAUAUGCAUUGGACAAGGCAGUCGAGGAAGGGACAGUGCCUUUUGAUGCAUACAUUAAGCAAGUGAGAGCGUUGGCAAGAGAGCAGUUCUACAGUAGAGCUAUGCUUGUAGAACUAGCAAAAGGUCGUCACCUUUUCAGUUGGUCCGCCUGAUAUGCAAACAACUGCUGAUCAUCAAUGGUGUACAUUGGCCAGCACAACCCUUGAAACGAUCAUCAAGAAUUCCUAAACUUUUUAUUUUAUUUUAAUUCUCAUGCCUCACCUUGUUUCCGAGGUCAUCAGGAUAAGAUAUGAAAUGUAGAAAAUCAACCGUUUAAAAUCAAAUAAGAUAUAUGAAUUCUUGUUUGAUAAGGUUGUUUGAUCUGUGCCUUAUUGAAUACUGGAAAUUAU